UCCAUCGCGAGGUGGAAUCUGAAGGAAGCUGUCGGCAAAGUUCUGGCCCGAGGAACACGAACACCAUUAGGCAGAAGCUGUGGGGGUAAGCUUGCCAAACAAAGCGAAGCCCAAAGAUUACACGGACCUAGUACUGUAGAUGGUGCGGGUAGAUGGAAUGAAAGUUUAUCGU
rnacentral:ncRNA from 1 species